rnacentral:rRNA from 1 species
GAAAGAACGCUGGUUAGUGGCGGACGGGUGAGUAACACGUGGGUAAUUAACCUUCUAGACUGGGAUAACAACGGGAAACUGGUGCUAAUACCGGAUAAGAUUCAUGAGCGGCAUCGCUUAUGGAUGAAAAGAGGCCUCUCCAUGGAAGCUCCUGCUAGAAGACAAGCCCGCGGCUGAUUAGCUAGUUGGUGAGGUAAUGGCUCACCAAGGCAACGAUCAGUAGCCGGCCUGAGAGGGUGAACGGCCACACUGGGACUGAGACACGGCCCAGACUCCUACGGGAGGCAGCAGUGGGGAAUAUUGCGCAAUGGAGGAAACUCUGACGCAGCAACGCCGCGUGAAUGAAGAAGGCCUUCGGGUUGUAAAGUUCUGUCAAUUGGGAAGAAACCUCCAAGGUAAAUAGUCUUGGAGAUGACGGUACCUAAAAAGGAAGCUCCGGCUAACUACGUGCCAGCAGCCGCGGUAAUACGUAGGGAGCAAGCGUUAUCCGGAAUUACUGGGCGUAAAGGGCGUGUAGGCGGCCAAUUAAGCUAGGUGUAAAAUGUUACAGCUCAACUGUAAACCUGCAUCUAGAACUGGUUGGCUAGAGGAUGAGAGAGGAAAGUGGAAUUCCUAGUGUAGCGGUGGAAUGCGUAGAUAUUAGGAGGAACACCAGUGGCGAAGGCGGCUUUCUGGCUCAUACCUGACGC